rnacentral:misc_RNA from 1 species
UUUCCGUAGGUGAACCUGCGGAAGGAUCAUUAAUGAAACUAGGACGCUCUUUUUAGAGGUCCAACCCUUCAUUUUCCAACACUGUGCACACACACUACUUUUUACACCCAUUUUUAACACUAUAAGUUACCAGAAUGUCAUAGUCUCUUAAUUGAGCAUAAAACAAUAAUAAAACUUUCGGCAACGGAUCUCUUGGCUCUCGCAUCGAUGAAGAACGCAGC